rnacentral:rRNA from 1 species
UUGAACGCUGGCGGCAGGCCUAACACAUGCAAGUCGAGCGGCAGCGCGGGGCAACCUGGCGGCGAGCGGCGGACGGGUGAGUAACGCGUAGGAAUCUACCCAGUAGCGGGGGAUAGCCCGGGGAAACUCGGAUUAAUACCGCAUACGCCCUAAGGGGGAAAGCAGGGGAUCGUAAGACCUUGCACUAUUGAAAGAGCCUGCGUUGGAUUAGCUAGUUGGUAGGGUAAAGGCCUACCAAGGCGACGAUCCAUAACUGGCCUGGGAGGAUGAUCAGUCACACCGGAACUGAGACACGGUCCGGACUCCUACGGGAGGCAGCAGUGGGGAAUAUUGGACAAUGGGGGCAACCCUGAUCCAGCCAUGCCGCGUGUGUGAAGAAGGCCUUCGGGUUGUAAAGCACUUUAAGUGGGGAGAAAGGUUCGGCAGCUAAUACCUGCCGGAAGUGAUGUUACCCACAGAAUAAGCACCGGCUAACUCUGUGCCAGCAGCCGCGGUAA